rnacentral:rRNA from 1 species
AUUGAACGCUGGCGGCAGGCCUAACACAUGCAAGUCGAACGAGUGGCGGACGGGUGAGUAAUGUCUGGGAAACUGCCUGAUGGAGGGGGAUAACUACUGGAAAAGGUAGCUAAUACCGCAUACCAUCAGAUGCCCCCCGAUGGGAUUAGCGUGUUGGUGGGGUAACGGCUCACCAAGGAGACGACCCCUAGAUGGUCUGAGAGGAUGACCAGCCACACUGGAACUGAGACACGGUCCAGACUCCUACGUGAGGCAGCAGUGGGGAAUAUUGCACAAUGGGCGCAAGCCUGAUGCAGCCAUGCCGCGUGUAUGAAGAAGGCCUUAGGGUUGUAAAGUACGUUCAGCGGGGAGGCGUUACCCGCAGAAGAAGCACCGGCUAACUCCGUGCCAGCAGCCGCGGUAAUUC